GAUGAACGCUGGCGGCGUGCCUAAUACAUGCAAGUCGAGCGAACAGACGAGGAGCUUGCUCCUCUGACGUUAGCGGCGGACGGGUGAGUAACACGUGGAUAACCUACCUAUAAGACUGGGAUAACUUCGGGAACCGGAGCUAAUACCGGAUAAUAUAUUGAACCGCAUGGUUCAAUAGUGAAAGACGGUUUUGCUGUCACUUAUAGAUGGAUCCGCGCCGCAUUAGCUAGUUGGUAAGGUAACGGCUUACCAAGGCAACGAUGCGUAGCCGACCUGAGAGGGUGAUCGGCCACACUGGAACUGAGACACGGUCCAGACUCCUACGGGAGGCAGCAGUAGGGAAUCUUCCGCAAUGGGCGAAAGCUUGACGGAGCAACGCCGCGUGAGUGAUGAAGGUCUUCGGAUCGUAAAACUCUGUUAUUAGGGAAGAACAAAUGUGUAAGUAACUAUGCACGUCUUGACGGUACCUAAUCAGAAAGCCACGGCUAACUACGUG
rnacentral:rRNA from 1 species